rnacentral:rRNA from 1 species
AGUGAACGCUGGCGGUAGGCCUAACACAUGCAAGUCGAACGGCAGCACAGUAAGCGCUUGCCUUUACGGGUGGCGAGUGGCGGACGGGUGAGGAAUACAUCGGCAUCUACUUUUUCGUGGGGGAUAACGUAGGGACACUUCCGCUAAUACCGCAUACGUUCUACGGGUGAAAGCAGGGGUUCUUCGGACCUUGCGCGACUGAAUGAGCUGAUGUCGGAUGAGAUAGUUGGUAAGGUAAAGGACCACCAAGGCAACGAUGCGUAGCUGGUCUGAGAGGGUGAUCGGACACAAUGGAAAUGAGACACGGUACAGACUCCUACGGGAGGCAGCAGUAGGGAAUCUUCAGAAAUGGGCGAAAGCCUGACGGAGCAACGCCGCGUGAGUGAUGAAGGUCUUCGGAUCGUAAAACUCUGUUAUUAGGGAAGAAAAAAUGUGUAAGUAACUAUGCACGUAUUGACGGUACCUAAUCAGAAAGCAACGGCUAACUACGUG